rnacentral:rRNA from 1 species
UAAGACGAACCGUGCGAACGUUGUUCGGAAUCACUGGGCUUGAAGGGCGCGUAGGCGGGCGACCAAGUCCGGGGUGAAAGCCCACGGCCCAACCGUGGAAGGGCCCCGGAUACUGGUCGCCUCGAGGGAGGUAGGGGCGUGUGGAACUUCCGGUGGAGCGGUGAAAUGCGUAGAGAUCGGAAGGAACGCCGGUGGCGAAAGCGACACGCUGGACCUCUUCUGACGCUGAGGCGCGAAAGCCAGGGGAGCAAACGGGAUUAGAUACCCCGGUAGUCCUGGCCCUAAACGAUGGGUACUAGGUAGUGGACUGGACAUGGGUUCACUGCCGAAGCGAAAGUGUUAAGUACCCCGCCUGGGGAGUAUGGUCGCAAGGCUG